GAUGAACGCUGGCGGCGUGCCUAAUACAUGCAAGUCGAGCGAACAGACGAGGAGCUUACUCCUCUGACGUUAGCGGCGGACGGGUGAGUAACACGUGGAUAACCUACCUAUAAGACUGGGAUAACUUCGGGAAACCGGGGCUAAUACCGGAUAACAUGUUGAACCGCAUGGUUCAACAGUGAAAGACGGUCUUGCUGUCACUUAUAGAUGGAUCCGCGUCGCAUUAGCUAGUUGGUAAGGUAACGGCUUACCAAGGCAACGAUGCGUAGCCGACCUGAGAGGGUGAUCGGCCACACUGGAACUGAGACACGGUCCAGACUCCUACGGGAGGCAGCAGUAGGGAAUCUUCCGCAAUGGGCGAAAGCCUGACGGAGCAACGCCGCGUGAGUGAAGAAGGUCUUCGGAUCGUAAAACUCUGUUAUUAGGGAAGAACAAAUGUGUAAGUAACUAUGCACGUCUUGACGGUACCUAAUCAGAAAGCCACGGCUAACUACGUG
rnacentral:rRNA from 1 species